CUCUAUUUCUUUUACUUGUUUAUUCUUAAAUGAAAUUCUUUAUUGCUGUAUAAAUGGAAACACUAAUACGCUUAUAAAUAGAAGGUAUCCCUAAGAAUAUGCAAAAUGAAAAGAAGAUACUGUGAUUAAGUUCCUCCUGUAUACUGUUGUUGUUCUUUGCUCAAAACUCUGACCCUGAGGUGCACCCUCCCUAGGUUACAAAUGGAGAUUAGCAAGGGUUGGAGAGGUGUUACAGACACACUAGCACCUAGCGGAGUUGUUCUUCAUGUCGCAACAGAAGGUUGGGUCAAAAUAACAACGGAAGAGCUUUCUUAGCGUGAGAGUCAGUGCAGGUAAGUGCCAUGACAUGAAGUCAUCACGCGCACUUUGACAAACAGACGUGCCGGGAGAGCACAGACUGGAGAUGCUGACUGCUACUGGACAGCUGCACAACUCUGCACAAGCGACUUCUUCUUUUAGAUCUUCAGUCUCUUCAUCUGUAUCCUGGGAAGAAUAAUGUCGUUAUAACUGAGUGAGUAGCUGUGUAAGAGAGGAGGAAAUGGUGUAGUGUGUGAGAACCUGAGACAGUGACUGGAAUAUAGUAAGCACUCAAGGCACGGUGGAUAAACACGCCUAUUUUGUCGCAGCUUCCUGGACAAUGGAGUAAAAGCAGCCUUACAGAAUGUGCAGGUGACAUCAAGUUGGGCACAAUUACCAACACCUCUGAAACAAGAAUAGAAUAUUAAGGGACACUAAAAACUUAGUCCCCCACAUGCAUCUCAGUUCUAAGGAGGAGAAAGGGAAAAAACCACCCUAUAAAGUGCCUGUGUUACCUGCCGCCACUUGCCGUCACCUGAAUGUCCCAAGAACACGCUCUCAACCCACAGCAUCUGUGCCCUCCAGCCUGAUCCUCUCACCUUUCCCAGCUCAGUGAGCAGUAUCGUCAUCUACCCCGAGGAGCAAGCCAGAACCUCACGGGCAUCUUAGAGUCCACCCUGCCCCUCAGCCCCAUGUGCAAGUCAGCGUGGAGCCAUGUCAGUUUUACCUCCCAGGUGUCUCUUCAGUCCAUCCACUUCUCUCUGCUUUCGCCGCCCUAGUCCAGCUACCGUCAUCGUGGCAGGUGUAGCACACAGUGGGCAGAGAUGAGAAGGACCAUCUACAUGAAGAGAAGAGCGUGAGCAAAAACAACCGGGAGAAUGAUGCUGAGCUCCUUCUCGAAGACAGCUCGUAGCUUCCUCCUCCCUUCUUUAUACACAGUGUACCUUGCUGAACAAGCUGUUCUUUACCUCACUUUUAUCACUUAAGAGAGCUUUGAAAUAUUUCCAUAAAGAGCAUCCCCAUUCCUUUUGACCAAUGAGUAGAAUCUCAUGGUGUGUGAAUAUCAUAAUUUGUCACUCUUGUUUUUUUUUUUUAAUCAUUCCUCUACUGAUGAUUACUUCCAAUCUUUUGCUAAUAUAAACAGUGCUGCAUUAAAUAAGUUUCUAUUUUUGUCAUUUCCCAUACGUUAGAGACUAUCGGGAGGAAAAUUCCUGGCAAAAUUGCUGAGUCAAAGGAUACACGUUUGAGAUUCUCUUAGAGGUUGAAACUUUGCCCCCUGUUGCUCUUGUCCCCGUAUGUCGUUAUUCUACCAGCUGACUCCUCACAAUAGAAGUGUUAUCAAACUUUUUGAUUUUUCCCAAC
ensembl:lncRNA